rnacentral:rRNA from 1 species
GAUGAACGCUGGCGGCGUGCCUAAUACAUGCAAGUCGAACGAAACGAAUUGAAAGCUUGCUUUUAAUAAGUUUAGUGGCGAACGGGUGAGUAAUACAUAAACAACCUACCUCAAUGAUUGGGAUAACAGUUGGAAACGACUGCUAAUACCGAAUAGGCACCUUUAAGGCAUCUUAGAGGUGGCAAAGAUGGGAUACAUCGCAAUGAGAUGGAUUUAUGGCGCAUUUAG